rnacentral:ncRNA from 1 species
AAGGCCUGAUGUGUGUGAGAUUACCCGCUGAAUUUAAGCAUAUAAGUAAGCGGAGGAAAAGAAACUAACUAGGAUUCCCUUAGUAAUGGCGAAUGAACAGGGAUCAGCUCAGUGCCAAAUCGGAAUCACUUGUGGUUCUGAAAUGUGGCUUGAAGGCAGUACCAGUGGCAUCGCGGACGAAAGUCUCUUGGAAAAGAGCGUCAUAGAGGGUGAGAAUCCCGUGAGUCGUUCGCCGUUUGUCACGUACGGUCUGCGUUCUAACGAGUCGCGUUCCUUGGGAUUGGAGCGUAAACGGGUGGUAAAUUUCAUCCAAAGCAAAAUAUAUACUCGAGACCGAUAGCACAAAAGUACCGUGAGGGAAAGGUGAAAAGAACUUUGAGAAGAGGGUUAAAUAGUGCCUGAAAUCGUUGAGAAGGAAGCGGAUGCCGCCGUUGCAUAUGCUGAUUGU